rnacentral:rRNA from 1 species
CCUACGGUGGGCUGCAGUGGGGAAUAUUGGACAAUGGGCGAAAGCCUGAUCCAGCCAUGCCGCGUGUGUGAAGAAGGCCUUCGGGUUGUAAAGCACUUUCAGUGGGGAAGAAAGCCUUGGGGCUAAUACCCUCGAGGAAGGACAUCACCCACAGAAGAAGCACCGGCUAACUCCGUGCCAGCAGCCGCGGUAAUACGGAGGGUGCGAGCGUUAAUCGGAAUUACUGGGCGUAAAGCGCGCGUAGGCGGUCUGAUAAGCCGGUUGUGAAAGCCCCGGGCUCAACCUGGGAACGGCAUCCGGAACUGUCAGGCUAGAGUGCAGGAGAGGAAGGUAGAAUUCCCGGUGUAGCGGUGAAAUGCGUAGAGAUCGGGAGGAAUACCAGUGGCGAAGGCGGCCUUCUGGACUGACACUGACGCUGAGGUGCGAAAGCGUGGGUAGCAAACAGGAUUAGAUACCCGAGUAGUC